CCUACGGGUGUCUGCAGUGGGGAAUAUUGGGCAAUGGGCGCAAGCCUGACCCAGCAACGCCGCGUGAAUGAAUAAGGCUUUCGGGUUUUAAACUACUUUUAAAGGGGAAUGACAGAAUCCGGUACCCCUUUAUUAAUCCACGGCUAACUACGUUCCAGCAGCCGCGGAAAUACGUAGGAGGCAACCGUUGUCCGGAUUUAUUGGGUGUAAAGGCCGGGCAUCCGGAGGGACAAGUCAGAUGUGAACUCCCCGUGCUCAACCCGUGAACUCCAUUUGAACCUGUUUCCCUUGAGUGUCGGAGAGGUAAUCGGAAUUACUGGUGUAGCGGUGAAAUGCGUAGAUAUAAGGAAGAAAACCAGUGGCGAAGGCGGAUUACUGGACGAUAACUGACGGUGAGGCGCGAAAGCGUGGGGAGCAAACAGGAUUAGAUACCCGAGUAGUC
rnacentral:rRNA from 1 species